rfam:Prevotella sp. CAG:873 genomic scaffold, scf183
AACUUUGCGGCGCAAACAGGUGCACGGCCAUCGACCGUGCUUAAAAGGGAAUCGGGUGUGAAUCCCGAACAGUCCCGCUGCUGUGAGCCUCACGCCACUGUGCGUCAGCACAUUGGCACGACCUCGGGCAUACGUCACUAUACCGCUGCAGGCGGUACGGGAAGGCGUCCGAAGCCGGUCGGAGGCGAGUCAGAAGACCUGCCUGAGAGCAAAAAUGCCG